rnacentral:rRNA from 1 species
UACGAAGGGGGCUAGCGUUGCUCGGAAUCACUGGGCGUAAAGCGCACGUAGGCGGCUUUUUAAGUCAGGGGUGAAAUCCUGGAGCUCAACUCCAGAACUGCCUUUGAUACUGAGAAGCUUGAGUCCGGGAGAGGUGAGUGGAACUGCGAGUGUAGAGGUGAAAUUCGUAGAUACUCGCAAGAACACCAGUGGCGAAGGCGGCUCACUGGCCCGGUACUGACGCUGAGGUGCGAAAGCGUGGGGAGCAAACAGG